rnacentral:rRNA from 1 species
UACGGAGGAUGCGAGCGUUAUCCGGAUUUAUUGGGUUUAAAGGGUGCGUAGGCGGACUGUCAAGUCAGCGGUAAAAUUGAGAGGCUCAACCUCUUCCCGCCGUUGAAACUGGUGGUCUUGAGUGGAUGAGAAGUAUGCGGAAUGCGUGGUGUAGCGGUGAAAUGCAUAGAUAUCACGCAGAACCCCGAUUGCGAAGGCAGCAUACCGGCGCCCGACUGACGCUGAAGCACGAAAGCGUGGGUAUCGAACAGG